rnacentral:rRNA from 1 species
UACAGAGGUCUCAAGCGUUGUUCGGAUUCAUUGGGCGUAAAGGGCGCGUAGGCGGCCUUGCAAGUGACGGGUGAAAUCCCUCGGCUUAACCGAGGAACUGCCUGUCAGACUGCAUGGCUUGAGACCGGGAGAGGUGAGUGGAAUUCCCAGUGUAGCGGUGAAAUGCGUAGAUAUUGGGAGGAACACCAGUGGCGAAGGCGGCUCACUGGACCGGUACUGACGCUGAGGCGCGAAAGCGUGGGGAGCAAACAGG